UAAGGAAUAUUGGUCAAUGGACGAAAGUCUGAACCAGCCAUGCCGCGUGGAGGAUGAAGGUCCUCUGGAUUGUAAACUUCUUUUAUUUGGGACGAAAAAAGGGAAUUCUUUCCCACUUGACGGUACCAGAUGAAUAAGCACCGGCUAACUCCGUGCCAGCAGCCGCGGUAAUACGGAGGGUGCAAGCGUUAUCCGGAUUCACUGGGUUUAAAGGGUGCGUAGGCGGAUAGGUAAGUCCGUGGUGAAAUCCUGCAGCUUAACUGCAGAACUGCCGUGGAUACUAUCUAUCUUGAAUAUCGUGGAGGUUAGCGGAAUAUGUCAUGUAGCGGUGAAAUGCUUAGAUAUGACAUAGAACACCCAUUGCGAAGGCAGCUAACUACGCGAUCAUUGACGCUGAUGCACGAAAGCGUGGGGAUCAAACAGGAUUAGAUACCCCCGUAGUCC
rnacentral:rRNA from 1 species